GAGGGCAUAGCUCAGUGGUAGAGCACGUGCUUAGCAUGCACGAGGCCCUGGGUUCAAUCCCCAGCACCUCCU
rnacentral:tRNA from 1 species